rnacentral:pre_miRNA from 15 species
CGAGCCGUGCUGGAGAAGCAGGGCACGUGUUCGUGCCAUCGGAACGGUGGCGGCGGCAACGCGUGCCCGCCCUCUCCAGCUCGGACUC